CUAAACACAUGUACACAUGUUUUUGUUUUAAGAAAGUAAAAACGAGGAAGACGUCAAGUUAAUAGAAAAACAUUUGAGAAAAGGAAUAUAAAAGGAGAGUAUUCGAAAAAAAUGUAUGAAACAAUUCGAAGUUUAAUUUGCUGUUAUAGAGGCUACUUCAUAAUACACUAAAAGAGGAAUUAGUAUAAACAUAUUGAUGACUUUCUGAGAUAUCAGGAGACUGAGAAGUCGAUUAUAGGCCACUACUACAAUGUUCUUGAGAUAAAUUGUACGAAAUAUAAUUCAAAACUUCUUCGGUCAACCAUAAAUAAUAUUCGUAUCUUAUUAUAGAAAAUAUGGAACAAUAUAAAAACGGAUAAUAAAUAUAAGUACAACAUGUCAUCUUUGAGCAGACAUGCACGUGCCCAUUUGUUAACGUCUAAAUAGAGAUUAACAUAGUAACAUAAAGGAAAAAAACGAGAAUUUUGUUACAAUCUCCACUUUAAGGUGAUUCGAUAAAAAAUUAUGUCAAACCAUAUCCAUUUAAAAUAGUUAUAUAAAUACUUUUUGGAAUUAAAACAAUGUAGUUUGUAACAAGAUUUUCAUUAAACUAACUAUAUUGUUUAAUUAACGCAUACCAAUGGAGAAACAAUAAUACCAUAUAACUUCCUCGAUAAGUUAUGAAUAUGCCCAAAAGAACGUUAUGUUCAAAUUUAUCCUUCAACUUUUUUGAAAAAAAAUUUCUGUUCUAAAUGUUUAUAUCAGCUUUUGUAGAAUACGAACACAUCCUUCAAGUAAAAUAUGAGAAAACACAAAGUAAGACCGAAACGACUACUUACGUUCCACUAAAGUUUACUAUUUACAGUCUUCCACGUUAAAAAACACACGAACACUCCGGUAAUAUCAAUGGUGACAGGCAACGUGAACUUGCAUUACAAAUCGACAAAUGGCAGCUGCGGUCGUGCAAUACACGUUGCUUUCUAUUUCCACACAAACCACGACAAUAUCAAAAAGCUCAGAGUUGUGCAUUAUGAAUUGUAAUGUCAAUCGUAUGAGUCGGGUCUUCAAUAUCCAAUCGUUUCAUCCUUUUUUCAUAGUCCGUGUUUUCAUAAGAUUAGAACGUUUACAGCAAAAAUGAAAAAAAUAAGACGUUCAACCUGAAUUUUUAUUUCUAAAAACAUACCGUACUUUCAUACGAAUUGACAAUUCAGUCGAUAAUAUAAUUUUUUUCUUAAUCACAAACUACAAGUCUAAGGAAACGAUUUAGUAAAACAAAAAAAAAUCGAGGCCAUAAAACCGUGUAUGAUGGCUAGUUUAUAGUUAUUACCAAUACCAUACGCUGGUGCACAUAAAGUACAAUAAUAAAAUUUUCUAAUCGUUCAAAGUUCUCUUACUGACAUAAAACACAGUCAACUGUACAUUUAUAUAAAUAAUAACAGUGUUAUUGCUAUUUCAUAAAAUGUAUU